UAGCAGUUUAACCCGAUAAGUUAACC
rnacentral:piRNA from 1 species